UUUCGCAAUGCCCGAAAGGAUGACGAAGCGACGCCGCGUGUGGGAAGAAGGCCUUCGGGUUGUAAACCACUGUCGGGAGUUAGGAAAUGCAGGUGCGUUAAUAGCGCACUUGCUUGACUAAGGCUCCAGAGGAAGCCGCGGCUAACUCUGUGCCAGCAGCCGCGGUAAUACAGAGGCGGCAAGCGUUGUUCGGAAUUAUUGGGCGUAAAGAGCACGUAGGCGGCCUUGCAAGUCAGUUGUGAAAGCCUUCCGCUUAACGGAAGAACGGCAUCUGAUACUACAGGGCUUGAGUACGGGAGGGGAGAGUGGAACUUCUGGUGGAGCGGUGAAAUGCGUAGAUAUCAGAAGGAACACCGGCGGCGAAGGCGACUCUCUGGCCCGUAACUGACGCUGAGUGUGCGAAAGCUAGGGGAGCAAACGGGAUUAGAUACCCCGGUAGUCCUAGCCGUAAACGAUGGGCACUAAGUAGAGGGGUUUU
rnacentral:rRNA from 1 species